UGCGAGGCGCCGGUCGGCGGUGGCCAGGCCGGGUGGCAGGCUCGGGGUGGGCGCGUUCUCGGCGGGCGGCGGCGGCUCCGCCGGGGACGGGCGGGGUCGGAGCGAGAUGGAGCCGUGACCGGUGACAGGGAGAGAGCUGCUAGCAUGGAAGUGAGCUGGGUUUGUCCGUGGGAACUGUGAAUAAGGUUGCCAUCACGAAAGCCAAAGUGGAUUUCUCCGGUGUGGUGUGCCUGCCCCCUUCCGUCAUUGCUGGAAAUGGGCUGGACGGAGGAGGGGCUGGCGAAAAUGAUGAUGAGCCGGUGCUGGUGUCACUUUCAGCGGCC